rnacentral:rRNA from 1 species
GACGAACGCUGGCGGCGUGCUUAACACAUGCAAGUCGAACGAAGUGGCGAACGGGUGAGUAACGCGUAAUCAACCUGCCCUUCAGAGGGGGACAACAGUUGGAAACGACUGCUAAUACCGCAUACUGAAUGAGGGGAUUGCGUCUGGUUAGCUGGUUGGGGGGGUAACGGCCCACCAAGGCGAUGAUCAGUAGCCGGUCUGGGAGGAGGAACGGCCACAAUGGGAAUGGGACACGGCCCAGACUCCUACGGGGGGCAGCAGUGGGGAAUCUUCCGCAAUGGGCGAAAGUCUGACGGAGCAACGCCGCGGGGGUGAUGAAGGCCUUCGGGUUGUAAAGCUCUGUUAAGCGGGACGCGGUACCGGAAGAGAAAGCCACGGCUAACUACGUGCCAGCAGCCGCGGUAAUAC